CUGUACUAUCUGCGGAGGGCUUCCAUCGAUUUGGACUACAUUGAGAAGGAGAAGGGCACAACCAAGAUUACAGGCCCUUGGAAGCGAGCUAUCCUGUACGUUUUGGGGGGGGGAAAUGUUGGAAACGAACAUUACGACUCCAUCUUUG
rnacentral:rRNA from 1 species